CUUGCAAGUAAGAUGAUGUCACAGAUUUUUUGUCCAUGUUGGUCUAAACACCUUGGGCUGCAAAGAGAAUAGUGAGUCAAUAUUUAGCCAAUUUUCUUUUUGUAACGUCAAUAUGGCAGAAGAAAGACGGCUCAACAAUAUAAGUAACCAUAUCAAAUUUGCUUAGAAUGAAAUGAACAAAGGGAAUAACAUUCCCAAGUAAUUGAUGAGUUAUUCCCAAGCAAUUGAUGAAUGGUAAUCCUCGAUUGAGUAUAUCUUUUUUCUUUUUUUUUUGGAAGGAAGAAAUUAUGGUUGGAGAGAGCAAAAAAGAAGUAAUUUCUUUGGAAGAGAUGACAGGAGCAUAGUAUUGAACUUCUAAUUCAUAAAGAGUUAGAAGAGAUUAAAGUCUAAGAAAGGGGGGAAAUUAGAAGUUGUCAAAUUAAUUAAUUCAAAAACUGAGUUAAGUAAGAAAUAGGAACCUGAAGUGAGAUUGUCUUAGAUUGACUCAGAUCUUUUUUUUUUUUUUGCAUCUUCCAAGCUAUCCACUUGGUCACAACAAUGUAUUUAGUUCUACUGAAAGAUUUCCAUGUCUCUGAAGCCAAUAAAUUCUACAUCGAGAACAAUCAUGCAAUUGUAAUGUGUAUAUUGGUGGGACAUUAUGUUGAAGAGAAGAACUAAAGUUAUUCAGGAUGACGCAGCUACAAUUGCCCCUGCAUGAUAAAGAUCAAUGACUUCAACAUGAAAAAUAUAAAUGAUGGAGCUUGUAAGUAAAUGUACAAAAAGAUAGGUAUAAAUCAGUAAAUGAGAAUACCUGUCAAUAUAAAGAUGUCCAGUUCAAUUUGUUGACGAUGAUCUGGCUACCUUACUUUAAGUCAUGAAGGUCAAUUGAGGUUCUCUUUGCUAUUUCUUGGUUUUUCAACUGCACUAAAUCAUUUAGACAAUUUCAGCUAUUGACAGUACACAGGCAAUGUAAACCAAUGCGAAUUGAAAUUUCAAUAUGUUAUUUCAAAUUAUGAUUCCUCCGAAAAACAAACCCAAUUUCAGCAUCCCAAAGUAUAUAUAUUUUUUGGCUAGGAAUAGAAAAAUAUUAUUUCCAAACUCCAAACAUAAGUAGAAAUGAAGAGGUCAAAAUUGACGUGUAAUUGAGGAUUGAAGCGAACAUACUGAUCUUUGUUAAAAUUUCAUUUGUAGGUAACUAUAUUUUAUAUAAUUAAUGGAAAUUCAGAAUUUAUAUUUGCAAAAGCAUAAAACUUGUCUUCUGGAGAUGAGCUCUCCAACACAUUAAUUGCUUUCAAUGAAACAACAUUUGAAUGUGGUACC
rnacentral:lncRNA from 1 species